ensembl:lncRNA
AAGAUUUUUUUUCCUAUUCAAUAUGUCUGCACUACAAUUCCUAAAUAUGGAAGACAAAACCAAACAAAAAUACCACUGAACUACCACCAGAAAAACCAACCCAUUAAGCUUAAUGAACCAUAAAGGCUCACAGCACAAAUUUCAAAUUGCAGGCAGAGGUAAUGCCUUCACAGUUGAAAUAACCACCAGUGUUUGACUGAGGCUGAGAAAACUGGCAAAGUAACUUGACAAUGAGUUACGUCAAGCAGAGUAAUCAAGGAGGAAAAAUUCAUGGGCAUCUUUUUUACACUACAAGACUGAACUCUGUCCAUCAGAAGAAAAAGGGCAAACUGGUAGUCAUUGAGCCAGAAUAAGCUUCUUGAAAGCAGUCAACUUCUUACCUUAUUUGACUAACAUCUCCUAUGCCAAUACUUCAGGAGCCAAGGAAGAUGCGGAAUAUCUGCCUAGUUAACAACCUCAUAGACAUAGC